GUUUGUGGCUGAAAACAAACUUCUGGGAGAAGAAAACCAGGGUGCUCAUCAUCUGGAGAACAGACUCCGGGUCUGAGCCAGGUGCCACCCCACCUCCCCAGGAUGCGCAGAGAUUCAAGGGCGGAGGAGGAAGGUACAAUCACACUGGGGUGGCAAUGGCUGGCAGGUUUCCGUACAGUACAAUGUUCAGAGUCAGCAUCGUUACAGAACAAGGUAGCACUCAGUUUUCAAAAAAAGUCACAAGUAGUAGUCCCCUGCCCCUCCCGAUUCAAAGUCAUAAAAAUAGACUUCUCGCUCCAGGACUACAUACUGACCCCUCUGCCUCAGGGGACAAGUUUCUGACUGAUUCUGGCUGCAAGGAUGAAGUUCUUGUUCUGGAGGAAAAGGGAGAGUCCAAAUGCUGGUGCCCAAAUUCAUUUUUGAGCGCCCUUCCUAGCAGUGGCUUACAGAGAAUCUGCACAGAAAUGUCCCAAGUGGUCCCCCGCCCCGAGACACGGUGAGCCAGACUUCACAGUGUCCCCAACACACACACACACACACACAGAGGCUUCUGGCCCUGCCUGGGGGGCGGUCACAUGGCUGGGACAUUCAGCAAGCCAAGGGGCGGACUGGCAAAGCUGUACCUGUUUGUAGCUAGCUCGUUAAAUGAAAAUCACCAAAGAGUGAAACUUAUUUACGGGGGAACAAAAGAGAGAAACGUUUAGGAAAUUAAAACAAUCCAGUGGUCACUGGAAAAUGUAUCCCUCUUGUUAAAAACAAAAAAACUUUUUUUUUUGGUUUUUUAAAAAAACUUUUUGGAAAGUAUUUUUAAGGUAAUUUUUUUUUCCUUUGGAAAAAGAAAUCUUCCCCCUCUAACCUAAGCAAGUGGUGUUUAGCCACUACCUAAUUUCUCUCUAUUGUUUUGCUAAGAGGUAGAUAAAAACAAAAGAGAAAAGGGGGUCUAUGAGGAGGUCCAUUAGAGGGCGGGGAGGGGCUCCCCCACUACAAAGGUGGCCUGGGGGCGUCCGGGGACCCUCGGGGUCCCCCAGGGCAAAGAAUCCUGCUCCCUCUCCUCCCCUCUCCGAGGUCACCUCCCGAGGGCCCUGGGAGAAGGCCACCCUUUCCUCACAGUGAGAGGGACUCGCUGGAGGGAGAGGGCUGAAAUGAGCCAGGAGGCAGGGAGGGGACAUCACGGCCAGCCCUGCCCACUGACCCCCAGGAGCAGGGACCCUGGCAGGCCUGCCCGGGCCCCAAGACAAACCUUUUGUGGCACGAGCCUCAACUCGCUUCUCCUAGCUGGGACCCCCCAUGCUCACAGGCGUCCCAGCCCUCGGUUCCAACCUUACUGUAAGACUGAGGUAGUUAAUCCAUUCAAACUCAUAGCUCUCUUUGCCUGUGGUCACUCAAAACAUGGGCUCAUGAGGAGCUUCCUGCUAUUUCAUUUCAGAAAAAAAAAUUUCUCUUUUGUCUAUGUCAGUCUGGAUCCCACCCUACCAGGGCACCCCCAGGCUGAGCCCCACAGAGAAGCCCCGGAGCCUGGACCCCAGGCCGGGCACCCAGCUUGGGUCCGAGGCCCCUCCCCUCCCCUGUACCCAAGGGGAAGAACCCGAGUUCCGGCUGGUGUUCCUCUACAUCUGCAUCUACACCAUGGAGUACUGGAGGGAAAUGGCUUUGACGUCCCCUGACAUCAUGAGGAGUUUUCUUCAGUCUUUCUGCAAUCACAUGCCAGGCUGUGCUGUCUCCCUUGCCCUGGUUUCCAACCAAACAGUCUCACGGUUUACAUGGCAAAGCCACUAGCACCUCCCCAGGGGCACUUGAGGAGAAAGAAAGGAGGAGACCCCAACACCCCCCAAGCAGAGGUGGAGGAAGGGGUGGCCUGAGGUGGCACCCGGGGCUCCGUGAGGUAGUUAAGCAGCGAUUCCCGGUUUGGCAGAGGGUAUUCUGGGCACGGAGGAGGGGAAGGCACCCUGGAGAGUCAACGGAGGCCCCCUCCUCACCGCCAGUCUGCCGGGCCUGAAGGGAACUCUGCAGUGCCAGCCCUGCAGGGGAACAGGGGUCGGACCCAUGAGGAGGACCCGAGCCCCCCCUUCCCCAAAGUGCAACCACAGCCAACUGACCUGGACCCCCCUUCUGGCUCCCAGGGGAACAGGAGCCCGAGGCUGCCUCAUUUCCAGGCCCCUCCCUGGGAAGAUGGUGGCAGAUGACUUCCAGCCUGUCUGUCUGUCUGUCUUUGGCACAGUGGAGACAGACACCAGAACCCCCGAGAACCCCUCCCGUGUCCUCUGGGUCUCACACGGGGUCUAUGCUGCCAACAGUGAGGCGUAAAUAAGAAAAAAGGAAAACAGACUGAUGGAGACCGGGAGGAAGGGGGGCGCUUACACUCCCCUGUCCGCUCAGGGACUGGCUCUCUCCUCCGGGCCCUCUGCCUAAUGCUCGAGGCACCCAGGCCCUCGAGGGGGGUGGGUUAAAGCCAUCGGGGUGCAACUGGCAAAUGCAGCUUCAAAGUCAGUCAGUGAAUCAAACCGUUUUGGCUUUCUAUGUGUUUCAAAGAGUUUAAAAAAUAUAUCCUAAAGAGAUGGUCCUCUCACAAAAAUAUAUGUGCAGCGCGCGCACACACGAAUCUCAGAAAGUUGCUCUUCUCAAAACCACCCGCUUCUCCCAAGUGCUUUCGUGACAGCUUGUAUCUCACCAAGGAUGGGGGCAGGAGACGCCCUAAGAUCUGGCUUCGGGUUACAGGAGAACCCGCGCCCGGAUGGCCCUUCCUCCUGUGACACCCAAGCCACUAAGCCCUGUUCCUACAGCCUGCUGGUAGGUAGCAAACCUCCACCAGCUUCCUGCGGGCAAACCUCAGUGACAAGUGGAGGUUGCCCACUUCCAGGAAGCUGUCCGUUCCUUUCUCCCCUUCCUGGUCUCUUCUGGGAGCUGAAGGAGCCAAAGGAAGAGGACCCGGGCUUAACACGGUCCCACCGGCUCCAACCAGCCCUGGGUGGCGCAGUGUAAGGGUCCCACUAGGCGACAUGGGACAGGGCCCUGGGUGGGACAGGCGUGCAUGGCCGGCCUGGUCGGGAACACGUUAAGGUGUGAGGGUGCAGGCCCCCGAGGAACCUAAUACUGCAACAAUCACAUUUCAGGUACUGUGGGGUUUCCCUUCUUCUUUCCUAAUGAUCAUUUGAACCAGAUAUUAAAGCUUGCUUGCUGCUGAAAAUCCACUUUAAAUCACUACACGGCCGAAGUCUGAAUGUUAUCUGCUUCAUUUUGGGACAAAGCGCGGAGCCAGAGAUGGAAAGAAGCUGGGAGGGAGACCCUUUCUGUGGCUGGGAAUGGUGGGGGGCUUCUUCUAUCGGCUGGACAUCACCCCUAAAUGCUAUCUUGCUUCUCCAGUUCCGGGGGGCUACGAGAGGACGUCACUGGGUCAGUGCCGAGACCAUGGGAAGGCAGGCACCUGUGGCACUCCCACCCCUCCCCUCCUCUCCCGAGCUGUCACCCUAAAUCAAGAAUUUCCUAAGUAGGGGUCCACGUUCAGAGUCAAUCAAGAGAUCUGGAGAUGACAGGGAGCUGGGGCGGUCAGUCACCCCCUGUCGGUGGGCAUAGACCAAGAAUAGCAAGACGGGACCCAAAUGACACCGUAACCCAAGUCAACGAGGAAAGGACCUCGACGGCAAAGCAGUGAGCCCCUCUGCGGCCGAGAGGCGGCCUUGUCCUUCUCCUGUGAACGAAAUCUUGGCUCUCCUAUUUUUAGGCAGAGAGAUUUUUUUUUUCUUUUGAAAGGGUGUAUUUUUUAGUUAUUAUUUCUCUCCUCGAUAAAACGGAGGCAAUAUUUCAAAAUAUCACAAUGGCACCACUGGAGCGAAAAACCGGCUGGGAUGCCAUUAAACCAAGGGAGGAAGAGGGAGGCCGAGGGCCAGGCGGUUGGUGGUUUGGGGCCCGGGUUCCCAAGGCCCAAGAGGCCUUUUAACCCUGUCAGGCAGGCAGAUAUUCCAGGAGCGGGCCCAGAGCCAGAGCCA
ensembl:lncRNA